UACUAAGGGGCUGCCGCAAGGCGAACCGACAUACCGCUAGAGGGUAACUGAAGGGGGACGCAGGAGGGUAGGUGAUCCCGGGCGAUGGUAGUCCCGGGGUAAGCGUGUAGGGAGGGUCGUUGAGAGAUUGCCCAUACAUCCUGAGGCGCGAUGCCGAGCCGUUAUAGGCGAAGUCACUGAUCCCAUGCUGCCGAGAAAAGCCCAGCAGUGAGUUGGCACGGUGCCCGUACCCCAAACCGACACAGGUGGGCGGGUAGAGAAUACCAAGGCGAUCGGGAGAACUAUGGUUAAGGAACUCGGCAAAUUACCUCCGUAACUUCGGGAGAAGGAGGGCCCCAGUAGGGUGAAACCGUUUACCGGUGGAGCCUGAGAGGGUGGCACAGACCAGGGGGUAGCAACUGUUUACUAAAAACACAGCAGCGUGCGAAGCCGCAAGGCGCUGUAUACGCUGUGACGCCUGCCCAAUGCUGGAAGGUUACGGGGAGGGGUUAGCCGCAAGGCGAAGCUCUGAACCUAAGCCCCAGUGAAUGGGGCCGUAACUAUAACGGUCCUAAGGUAGCGAAAUUCCUUGUCGGGUAAGUUCCGACCUGCACGAAUGGCGUAAUGACUUCCCCACUGUCUCAACCAUAGACCCGGCGAAAUUGAAGUACGAGUAAAGAUGCUCGUUAGGUGCAGAAGGACGAAAAGACCCCAUGGACCUUUACUAUAACUUGGUGUUGGGAUUUGAUCUUUGUUGUGUAGGAUAGCUGGGAGACUUGGAAGCAUUGGCGCCAGCCAGUGUGGAGUCAACGUUGAAAUACCAGCCUGCAAAUAUCGGGUCUCUAACUUGGGUCCCUUAUCGGGAUCAGGAACAGCGCCAGGCGGGUAGUUUGACUGGGGCGGUCGCCUCCUAAAAUGUAACGGAGGCGCCCAAAGGUUCCCUCAGACUGGUUGGCAAUCAGUCGUCGAGUGCAAAGGCACAAGGGAGCUUGACUGCGAGACUGACAAGUCAAGCAGGUGCGAAAGCAGGGCUUAGUGACCCGGCCAUAGCGUGUGGAAGCGUGGUCGCUCAACGGAUAAAAGGUACCCUGGGGAUAACAGGCUAAUCUUGCCCAAGAGUCCAUAUCGACGGCAAGGUCUGGCACCUCGAUGUCGGCUCAUCGCAUCCUGGGGCUGAAGCAGGUCCCAAGGGUUGGGCUGUUCGCCCAUUAAAGCGGUACGCGAGCUGGGUUUAAAACGUCGUGAGACAGUUUGGUCCCUAUCCUCUGCACCCGCAGGAGUUUUGAAGAAGGCUAUCCCUAGUACGAGAGGACCGGGAUGGACGCAGCUCUGGUGUGCCAGUUGUCCUGCCAAGGGCACGGCUGGUUAGCCACCUGCGGAAGGGAUAACCGCUGAAAGCAUCUAAGCGGGAAGCCCGUUCUGAGAUGAGAACUCCCACGGGGUUAACCCGGUAAGGCCCGUGGCCAGACCACCACGUUGAUAGGCCGGAAGUGGGAGUGUGGAGACACAUGUAGCUGACCGGUACUAAUCGGCCGAGGGCUUGGCU
rnacentral:rRNA from 1 species